AUUGAACGCUGGCGGCAUGCCUUACACAUGCAAGUCGAACGGCAGCGCGGGGCAACCUGGCGGCGAGUGGCGAACGGGUGAGUAAUAUAUCGGAACAUACCCUAGAGUGGGGGAUAACGUAGCGAAAGUUACGCUAAUACCGCAUACGCACUAAGGUGGAAAGUGGGGGAUCUUCGGACCUCAUGCUCAUGGAGUGGCCGAUAUCUGAUUAGCUAGUUGGUGAGGUAAAGGCUCACCAAGGCGACGAUCAGUAGCUGGUUUGAGAGAACGACCAGCCACACUGGAACUGAGACACGGUCCAGACUCCUACGGGAGGCAGCAAUGGGAAUUUUGGACAAUGGGGGGCAACCCUGAUCCAGCAAUGCCGCGUGAGUGAAGAAGGCCCUCGGGUUGUAAAGGC
rnacentral:rRNA from 1 species